rnacentral:rRNA from 1 species
CAUGCAAGUCGAACGCUGAAGCACUCUGCUUGCAGAGUGCGGAUGAGUGGCGAACGGGUGAGUAACACGUGGGAAAUCUGCCUAGGAGUGGGGGAUAACAUUCGGAAACGGAUGCUAAUACCGCAUAUCUUCAUAGACCGCAUGGUCUAUGAAUGAAAGACGGCUUCGGCUGUCGCUCUUAGAUGAUCCCGCGGCGUAUUAGUUAGUUGGUGAGGUAAUGGCUCACCAAGACAACGAUGGGUAACCGGCCUGAGAGGGUGAACGGUCACACUGGAACUGAGACACGGUCCAGACUCCUACGGGAGGUAGCAGUGGGGAAUAUUGCACAAUGGAGGAAACUCUGAUGCAGCGACGUCGCGUGAACGAUGAAGGUUUUCGGAUCGUAAAGUUCUGUCCUUGGGGACGAUAAUGACGGUACCCAAGGAGGAAGCCCCGGCUAACUACGUGCCAGCAGCCGCGGUAAUACGUAGGGGGCAAGCGUUGUCCGGAAUUAUUGGGCGUAAAGGGAGCGCAGGCGGUUGGAAUAGUCUGAUGUGAAAGCCCACGGCUUGACCGUGGAAGGUCAUUGGAAACUGUCCAACUUGAAUGCAGAAGAGGUAAGUGGAAUUCCAUGUGUAGCGGUGAAAUGCGUAGAUAUAUGGAGGAACACCAGUGGCGAAGGCGACUUACUGGUCUGUAAUUGACGCUGAGGCUCGAAAGCGUGGGUAGCGAACAGGAUUAGAUACCCUGGUAGUCCACGCCGUAAACGAUGAGUGCUAAGUGUUGGAGGGUUUCCGCCCUUCAGUGCUGGAGUUAACGCA